AUGUCAAAAGUGGAAUCAGAUUUUCAGAGAUCGCCGGUAUGUUUAGAGUUGCAAUAAAAAUUAAAUAACGAUGGGGAAGACGUCAAAGAUAAAUACUGGAGAAAUAGUCUUGGCGGCAAUAAAAAAAAUGAUGAAGAAUACAGGUUGGACGACUCGAACAAUUGUAAAAUUCAUUAAAUUGGAAUACAACAUUAAAGAUAAUAAAAUAAGUCGGAAAAUCUCAAGAGCCUUAAAACGUGGAGUAAAAUUAGGUAUACUUCAAAUGGAAAGUGGAAGAUACCGUUUGAACCAUAUGUCCCACUUGGUGCGUCCUGUCGGCGUCCGAGAGAUACGCUUUCGUAAUCGACAAAAAUGUGAACGAACUAAGAGAACGUUACACCAAUAACAAUAUCAUAUAACUUCGCUAAAAA